AUGUGUGCGUGUCUCUGUGCGUGUGUCUGUGUGUGUUUGUUUAUGUGUCUCUGGGUGUGUCUCUGUGUGUGUCUGUGUGUCUCUGUGCGUGUGUCUGUGUGUAUCUAUGUGUCUGUGUGUGUCUCUGUGUGUCUCUUUCUGUGUGUCUCUGUGUGUGUGUCUGUAUGUCUCUGUGUGUCUGUCUCUGUAUGUGUGUCUGUGUACCUGUCUGUGUGUGUCUGUGUGUGUGUGUCUGUGUGUAUCUACGUGUCUGUGUGUCUCUGCAUCUGUGUGUCUGUCUGUGCGUCUGUGUGUGUGUCUCUGUGUGUGUCUCUGUGUCUCUGUCUGUGUGUGUGUCUGUGUGUCUCUGUGUGUGUGUCUUCGUGUGUCUCUCUCUGUGUGUAUGUGUGCGUGUCUGUGUGUCUCUGUGGGUGUGUGUUUAUGUGUCUCUGUGUAUCUCCAUGUGUGUGUCUGUGUGUGUGUGUCUGUGUGUAUUUAUGUACCUGUGUGUGUGUCUCUGUGUGUGUCUGUGUGUAUCUAUGUGUCUGUGUGUCUCUGCAUCUAUGUAUCUGUGUGCUGUGUGUGCGUCUGUGUGUGUGUCUCUCUCUGUAUGUGUCUCUGUGUGUGUCUCCGUGUGUCUGUGUGUGUCUGUGUGUAUCUAUGUGUCUGUGUCUGUGUGUGUGUGUGUGUAUAUGUCUCUGUGUGUCUCCGUGUGUCUGUCUCUGUGUGCGUGUCUGUGUGUAUCUGUGUGCCUGUCUGUGUCUGUGUGUGUAUCUAUGUGCCUGUCUGUGUGUGUCUGUCUGUGUGUGUGUCUGUGUGUUUCUGUGUGUGUGUGUGUCUGUGUGUCUCUCUGUGUCUGUGUGUCUCUCUGUGUCUCUGUGUGUAUCUAUGUGCCUGUCUGUGUGUGUCUGUGUGUGUGUGUGUGUGUGUCUGUGUGUAUCUAUGUCUGUCUGUCUGUGUGUGUGUCUCUGUCUCUCUCUCUGUGUGACAAGGGAAGGAGGGGUGUUGAGCAGGACUUUUCCUACGUGA
ensembl:lncRNA